AUACAAUGGCAUGCUUCCUUCUGC
rnacentral:siRNA from 1 species